rnacentral:rRNA from 1 species
AGCGAACGCUGGCGGCAGGCUUAACACAUGCAAGUCGAGCGGGCACUCUCGGGUGUCAGCGGCCGACGGGUGAGUAACGCGUUUGAACGUGCCCUCUGUUUCCGCAUCUCUCAGGGAAACUUGAGCUACUACCGCAUACGCUCGUUUGGGGAAAGGCGUGCUGCCGGAGGAUCGGCCCGCGUCUGAUUGGCUGGUUGGUACGGUAACGGCACACCAAGGCGACUAACAGUAGCUGUUAGGAGAGGAUGAUCAGCCACACUGGAGCUGAGACACAGCCCAGACUCCGACGGAAGGGAGCAGAGGGGGAUAUUGGACAAUGGGGGCAAGCAUGAUACAGCCGUGCCGGGUAAGUGAUGAAGGCCGUAGGGAAGUAAAGCUCAUUUAGCCGGGACGAUAAUGACGGUACCGAAUGAAAAAGCCACGGCUAACUUCGUG